ACAUACCUUAGUAAACAGUUAAGACAUUCAUAAGUUCGUAGAUUAAUAUAUCUAUUUUAAUACACGAUUAAAGAUACAUAAAUCCUAUAACUACGGAGUUCAAUAAUAUCUAGAAGUAGUGAAAUUUUUAUAUAACAAUACAUUAAUUAAUUAAUUACAUAAAUUUAGAAAUUCACUUUUAUAGCCCUGUGGAAAAGAUUGCAGAGCCUUAGCUGACUCGAAGGGAAUUCCUACUUCUUGAAAAGUUAAACAAAAGAAAUAUGAGUUUUAUAAUGAAUAAUAAUUAUGGCAUAACAUGCAUUCACGCGAAAUGCUUCCUAAAAUACUAAAAUGAAUAUACAAGUCAAACAUAUGACACAACAUCAGCACCCACAUACAAGUACAUCUUCAUAUAAUCAAACACAUGGAGAUUGGUCUUUUGCGUCAUUGAAACCCCCGAUGAGCCGUCCUCACACAUAGCCCAUCCUCAUGAUGUGUGCACCAGGGAGCUGAUCCCCCAUACAUGGCCUAUCAGUAGGGGUGGCCACGGUUCUGGAACCGGCGGUUCUGGUUCAAAAAAACUGGAACUGGAACCGAACCGAAAAGUUCCGGUUUCGAUCUGUUUUCCCGCGAAUCGCAUAAAAAAAAUACUUGAACAUAAAAAAUUAAAAAAAUACACCUAAAAAAUUAAAAAAUACUUCAAUUAAAUUUAUUUUUUUUAAUACUUGAUCAUAAUUAUUUUUUUAAAAAAAAUUUUCAACUGAAUUUAUUUUUUGUUUAAAAAAAUUUGCACAUAAUUUUUUUUUUAAAAAAAAAAGGGCUUGCCUACGUAUCCUCUUGGAGUUCAGAGAAAUCAAAGCCUACAUAGUUCUUUACUUACCUUAUGCUAAUUUCACCCCUUUUACCUUAAUCGCUAUUUGUAGAGAUGGCCAUAUUACGAUUUCGGGAACCGGAAUCGUCAGUUCGAAUCAGUCCCAAACCGUAACCGGUGAGAACCGGAACCGGAGAUUUUCGGUUCAGUUCCGGUUCUAAAUUUCUGGAACCGAAACCGGCGAUUCCAGAAAAUCGGCCGGAACCGCCGGUUCCCCGUCCGGUUAGAACCGUCGGUUCGAACUGGCGAUUCUAGCAGUUAGAAACUAUCAGACCAAUUUUUUUUUUUUAAUUUUGUUGUGAAAUCUCUUAAUUACCCCUCCCAACAGCCAUAAACGGCUACAUAACGACUUGUUUCAAGGGUAUUUUUGGAAAAAUGAUCUUUUGGAUUUAUUAUAAAUACCUCAUUUCAUUUACAAAUUCAUUACAAAAAAAUCUCAACUCUCUCUACUUACUCUCUCUACAAUAUACUACACUCUACUUACUCCCUCUACAAUAUACUACACUCUACUCUACAAUCUCUCUUAUUAAGUUAUUAUUCUCUCUAAUUUUUUUUAUUCAAUUUUCCAAAUUAUAUCUUAUUAUCAUAUAAUGGCAAGUGGAGGAAACUCAAAUUCGGGUAAGGGCAAGGGAAAGAUUGGAGAAACACAAUAUUCAUCUAUCCCUACAAACGACAUCUAUGAUUUCACCCCCAACCAAUUUAAUUUUGAGGGACAUCCAAAUGAAAAUUUGGAAAUUCCAACUCAAGAAUCUGAAUUUAAUGAGCAAUUACAAGAAGAGGAAGAGCAAGAGCAAGAGCAAGAGUAAUGAGCACAAAUUGUUGGAAGAGCAAGACAAAGUUCCGACAUAUUCGCCAUUCAUUUCACGAAAAAAAUCAAAAGUGAGAAAAUGUAAGAUGUAAUUUGCAAUUAUUGUGGAAAAUCUUAUAAACUUAAACAAGCGAGGGGCUAUGGAUCAUUUUGGAGACAAAACAUCCAAUAAAAUAGGAGUUGAUCGGUCUCAAACACAAAUUUCCGGGUAAGCUUCUAACCUUUCUUUAUUUAAAUAUUCUGAAAAAAUACAAAAAGAAGAAUUAGCAAAAAUGAUUUCUAUGGAACAUUUAACUUUUAGUUUUGGUGAAAAAGUAGGUUUUAAUAAUUAUUGUCAAAAACCUUUAAAUCCUUCUGCUAAAAAAGUACCAAGAAAUACUGUAAAACGAACUAUUAUUUCUUUAUAUAAUAAAGGAAAAAAAGAGUUAGAGCUUUUAUUUUCUCAAAUGAAAAUUCGUGUUUCAAUUUGUUGUGAUAUUUGGAGUGAUCAUUGGCAAAUGCAUUCUUAUAUGGGUAUUACAUGUCAUUGGAUUGAUGAUGAUUGGAAAAUUCAAAAAAAAAUUAUUNNNNNNNNNNNNNNNNNNNNNNNNNNNNNNNNNNNNNNNNNNNNNNNNNNNNNNNNNNNNNNNNNNNNNNNNNNNNNNNNNNNNNNNNNNNNNNNNNNNNNNNNNNNNNNNNNNNNNNNNNNNNNNNNNNNNNNNNNNNNNNNNNNNNNNNNNNNNNNNNNNNNNNNNNNNNNNNNNNNNNNNNNNNNNNNNNNNNNNNNNNNNNNNNNNNNNNNNNNNNNNNNNNNNNNNNNNNNNNNNNNNNNNNNNNNNNNNNNNNNNNCAAGGGAUGUCCCAACUCGUUAGAAUUCAACAUAUGAAUUAUUAAACGAGUCUUUUUCUUAUAAAGAAUUAUUAUGCUUUUUUGUUACUAAUAAUAUUGAGGAUAUUAAUUUAUAUCCACAAAAUUGGGAUAUUUGUGCAAAAAUUUUAGAUAUUUUAAAAAUUUUUAAUGAUGCUACUUAUAAAUUUAGUGGGGUUUAUUAUCCCACAUCUCAUUUAUUUUUACCUUUGUGUAUUAAUAUUGUUACUGCACUCCAAGAAUUUCAAAAUGAUGAUUUAUUAAAAGAUUGUAUUUUUUCAAUAAAAAAAAUGGUUAUCUUAUUUUAAAAAUAUACCACCCUUUUAUGUUGUUGCUAUUGUAUUUGAUCCUAAAUGCAAAAUUGAUGUUUUAUUUGAUUAUUUAUUAUGAAGUAUUAAAUCUUGAUGUAGAAGAUAAUGUUAAUAUAAAUGUAGUAUUGCAUGAAGUUAAACAAAAUAUUAUGCAAUUAUAUAAUGAAUUUGUUCAAGUUUCUAGUUCAUCUACUUCUACUUCUUCUCAAUCUAAUAUUCAACAAUUUCCAACACAAAGGGUAAGUGGGGUUGGUGUUGCACAACAAAUUUUACUACAAAAACAAAAAAGAACAAGGGAAUUCAGUUCUUUUUCUCAAUUUGAUAAUUAUCUAACCACUUCUUUUGAGUUUGGUGAUGAUUAUGCAGAUACUGAUUUUCCAAUUUUAGAUUAGUAGAGUCCUCACGCAAAUACUUUUCCAAUUCUUUCUUUAAUUGCAAAACAAGUUUUAACAGCUUCGGUCUCCACUGUUGCGGUUAAACAAGCUUUUUGUCAAGGAGGAAACAUACUUGAUGAAACAUGAUCUCGUAUGACACCCGAUUCGUUAGAAACACAAUCAUGCGUGGAUGAUCGAAGUAAGACCGAACUAAGAGCACAAGAAAAUUUAAAAGAAAAUGAAAAUCUAUAUGAUUUAUACGAUAGGUCCUCAACGGAACAUCAACCGGUUGUGCAAAUAGCGAUUAAGGUAAAAGGGAUGAAAUUGGUAUAAAGUAAGUAAAAACUACGUGGAUUUUGAUUCCUCUAAACCCCAAGAAGACACGUAGGCAACUUAAUUUUUUUUUAAAAAAAAAUUNNNNNNNNNNNNNNNNNNNNNNNNNNNNNNNNUUCAAACUUUUUUAAAUAAAAAAUAAAUUCAGUUGAAAAAUUUUUUUAAAAAAAAUAAUUAUGUUCAAGUCUUUAAAAAAAUAAAUUUAAUUGAAGUAUUUUUUUAUUUUCUAGGUGUAUAUUUUAAUUUUUUAUGUUCAAGUAUUUUUUUAAAAAAACCGGUUCUCAUUUCAAUUAAAAUUAAAAAUUAUGCGAUUCGCCGGAAUACCGAUCGGAACCGUCGGUUUGGUCACCGUACCGGAACCGGAACCGUUCGAUUCCAAACCGGAACCGGAACUUUUCGGUUCCGUUCUGGUUCCAGUUUUUUUGGAACCAGAACCGCUAAUUCCGGAACCGUGGCCACCCUUAGCUAUUUGCACCACCGGUUGAUGUUUCCAUUGAGGACCCAUUGUAUAAAUCAUAUAAAUCUUUAUUUUCUUUUGGAUUUUCUUGUGCUCUUAGUUCGGCCUUGCUCCAAUCAUCCACGUAUGAUUGUGGUUCUAAUGAAUCGGGUGUCAUAUGAGAUCGUGUUUCAUCAAGUAUGUUUCUUCCUUGACUAAAAGCUUAUUCAACCGCAACAGUGUAGACCGGAGCUGCUAAAACUUGUUUUGCAAUUAAAAAAAGAAUUGGAAAAGUAUUUGCAUGACGACUCCACCAAUCUAAAAUUAGAAAAUCAGUAUCUGCAUAAUCAUCACCAAACUCAAAAGAAGUGGUUAGAUAAUUAUCAAAUUCAGAAAAAGAACUAGAUUCCCUUGUUCUUUUUUGUCUUUGUAGUAAAACUUGUUAAGCAACACCAACACCACUUACCCUUUGUGUUGAAAAUUGUUGAAUAUUAGAUUGAGAAGAAUUAGAAGUAGAUGAACUAGAAAAUUGAACAAAUUCAUUAUAUAAUUGCAUAAUAUUUUGUUUAACUUCAUGCAAUACUACAUUUAUAUUAACAUUAUCUUCUACAUCAAGAUUUAAUACUUCAUAAUAAAUAGUCAAAUANNNNNNNNNNNNNNNNNNNNNNNNNNNNNNNNNNNNNNNNNNNNNNNNNNNNNNNNNNNNNNNNNNNNNNNNNNNNNNNNNNNNNNNNNNNNNNNNNNNNNUUAAAAAAUACAAUCUUUUAAUAUACAAUUAUUUUCAAAUUCUUGAAGUGCACUAACAAUAUCAAUACACAUAGAUAAAAAUAAAUGAGAUGUUGGAUAAUAAAUCCCACUAAAUUUAUAGGUAGCAUCAUUAAAAAUUUUUAAAAUAUCUAAAAUUUUUGCACAAAUAUCCCAAUUUUGUGAAUAUAAAUUAGUAUCUUCAAUAUUAUUAGUAACAAAAAAGCAAAAUAAUUCUUUAUAAGAAAAAGACUCGUUUAGUAAUUCAUAUGUUGAAUUCCAACGAGUUGGGACAUCCCUUGAAAAACGUUUUGGUCUUUUAUUAUUUUCUUUACAAAAUUUAGCCCAAAUUUUCAUCACUUGGGGAUAUCUUCAUAAAUAUGAAAUAGCUUUUUUAAUUGGAAAAAUAAAAAAUUCAAAAAAUUUUAAACCAAAUUGUAAACAAAAAUUUAAAACAUGGCACGCACAUCUUAUAUGAAAAAUUUUUCCACCAAUAUUUGGUUCACAAAUUUUUUUAAGUUCAAUAAUUGAUCUAGUAUUUGCAGAAGCAUUAUCAAAUGAAAUAGAAAAAAUUUUUUUUGUCAACCUAUAUUCAUCUAAAAUUGAAACAACUAUUCUAUAAAUAUUAUUUGCAGUAUAUUUAUCAUCAAAAACACGAAAACCAAUAAUUCUUUUUUGAAUUUUCCAAUCAUCAUCAAUCCAAUGACAUGUAAUACCCAUAUAAGAAUUGGUUUGCCAAUGAUCACUCCAAAUAUCACAACAAAUUGAAACACGAAUUUUCAUUUGAGAAAAUAAAAGCUCUAACUCUUUUUUCCUUUGUUAUAUAAAGAAAUAAUAGUUCGUUUUACAGUAUUUCUUGGCACUCUUUUAGCAGAAGGAUUUAAAGCUUUUUGACAAUAAUUAUUAAAACCUAAUUUUUCACCAAAACUAAAAGAUAAAUGUUCCAUAGAAAUCAUUUUUGCUAAUUCUUCUUUUUGUAUUUUUUCAGAAUAUUUAAAUAAAGAAAGGUUAGAAGCGUACCCGAAAAUUUGUUGUUGAGACCGAUCAACUCCUAUUUUUGUUGGAUGUUUUGACUCCAAAUGCUUCCAAAAUGAUCCAUAGCCGCCCGCUUGUUUAAAUUUAUAAGAUUUUCCACAAUAAUUGCAAAUUACAUCGUACAUUUUCUCACCUUUGAAUUUUUUCAUAAAAUGAAUGGCGAAUAUGUCGAAACUUUGUCUUGCUCUUNNNNNNNNNNNNNNNNNNNNNNNNNNNNNNNNNNNNNNNNNNNNNNNNNNNNNNNNNNNNNNNCGUUGAAAUUUCCAAAUUUUUAUUUGGAUAUCCCUCAAAAUUAAAUUGGUUGGGAGUGAAAUCAUAGAUGUCGUUUGUAGGGAUAGAUGAUUCUCCAAAUUUUCCCUUGCCCUUACCCGAAUUUGAGUUUCCUCCACUUGCCAUUAUAUGAUAAUAAAAUAUAAUUUGGAAAAUUGAAUAAAAAAAAUUAGAGAGAAUAAUUACCUUAAUAAGAGAUAAAUGUUGAGUAGAGAAAAAUAAAUGAAUAAUAUAGAGUAGAGUGUAGUAUAUUGUAGAGAGAGUAAGUAGAGAGUGUAGUAUAUUGUAGAGAGAGUAAGUAGAGAGUGUAGUAUAUUGUAGAGAGAGUAAGUAGAGAGUGUAGUAUAUUGUAGAGAGAGUAAGUAGAGAGUGUAGUAUAUUGUAGAGAGAGUAAGUAGAGAGAGUUGAGAUUUUUUUGUAAUGAAUUUGUAAAUAAAAUGAGGUAAUUAUAAUAAAUCCAAAAAUUCAUUUUUCCAAAAAUCCCCUUGAACCUAGCCGUUAUGUAGCCAUUUAUGGCUCCGCCGGUUCCGGUUCCAGAAAUCUGGAACCGGAAUCAAACCGAAAAUCUCCGGUUUUGAUUCGGCCCGAUUCUAGUUCUCACCGGUUCCAGUUACGGUUCGGGACCGAUUCGAACCGACGGUUCCGGGUACCAAAACCGGAAUAUGGCCACCCUUUCCUAUCAGUCUAAUCCUCACUUGACCAGCCCUUUCAUUUUUUUCCCAUACUCACUUUUUUUUUUCCAUUGCCAACAAGAGGCCAUCCUGUGGUUUUUCCAUGUCAUUCAUAUUAUCAGAUGCAUACAGAGGCGCCGAUCUCUCCAUACAUGGCCGACAGUAUCAUAGACCACCCUCACAAUCCCAUGGUAACCCACUUCAUUCUAAUUCCACACAACAAGGCAUUUCAAUGUCGCAACACAAGUAAUCAAGCAAUUUAUUCAACACAAGAUGCACCCAAUUAAUAAUUAAAAUGCAAACAAGAAGAUAUAAUCAUGAUAUAAGUUUAAAUAUUUAACAUGUUAGAAAUAAAAUAAUAAUAAUAUUUAUAUGCUUCUGUAUGGUAAAUGUUUAUGCAUGCUAAUGACAGUGUACACCAUUUAUUAUAACACACCGAUUAAGAAGAAGAGAAUAUCUAAGUUGGAUCUUCGGCCUAUAGGUGUGAUAGAUGAACUCGGAUGAUCUAGAUAAAACUUAAGUAACCAAGGGAGAAGAGAAUUAAAUAAAGAACUCCAUAAAAAUACAACUAGUUUAGAUUUUGUCGAAAUUUCAACAGAACCUCCCCUAAACAUAGGACUAUCAUCCUGUUUAAACAAUGUUGAAUACUCAAUAUUUACUCAUUCAAUCCACACAGCCCAUCCAUCGGGCGAUCAAUCAAAUUAAAUUCCCAUCCUCCUUCCAGAACAACUAUAUCAACAUUCAAUCAUUAAUUAUUCCUUGCUUCGCAUCAUAGUUUAUAAGUUCAUUUAUAUACAAAUGCACAAAAGCAUAUACGGCAUUCCUAGUUAUUAUCCAUUGCUAACUAACUAAUAUACCAACAUUCAAUAAGAAUUCAUACGCCAUUCAUUAUCUCUAUUUUUAUCAUCAUAAUCCUUUUUAAAUUGAUUGUUACUGAAGAUUAAAUUCAUACAACUAAGCAGGCUCUACUUUUCCCAAGUUUAUAGAAUUUGGUCUAACUAGCUAUUGCCGAUUCAGCAAACACCUCAGUUUCUAAGAUAAAUCUAUCCUAAACAUGCUUAAUUAUUCAUUUCCAAUCGAGAUGCAGGUAUAUAAUACAAUUCUCAUCUUAAUAUUUUCAAAACUCAAAAAGUGUAAGCAAUGUGGGAGCUGCCAUUCAAGGAGAAUCACUGUUAUCCAAUCAAAAUUCAUUUCCCAUAUGCUAAUUCAUUUAUUUCCCAUCAAUGAUUUAAGGUUAUUCAUCAUCUUCUACAUAUAUGAGCAAUAACUCAAGCAUACAACUAUGGUUGUGGCUGCCAUUCUAGGAGAUUUAUGAUUUCUUAUUAAAUUUUAUCUUUAAAUGCUUCCACAAACAUUACCAAUUAAAGAAAACAAGUUGAGGCUCUUAUACAAGCUUAGUUCAACUAAAACCCAUGAUGUUCCUCUAGCUAGAUGCUGUCAACUGCUAAGAGAUCCUAACCUCUAACCAAAACUCAUCACCUAAUUGCUAACUUAUCCAUUUCCCAACAAAAGAUAAAUUUACAACCUUCCUUUCAAGCCUUCAUACGGUCAAACUCAUAAAUGCAAACAGUGAAGCUGUUGUCAAUAUAAGAAAAUUAUAAUCCCCUAUCAAACCUUGUAAGAAAUACAUUAAUCCAGUCAUUGCUCUAUAAGCAUUCAACUCAUAGUUUCAAUUGCAGAUUAUUUUAAAUACUCUUUUAGAAUUUUGCUUAACAGUAGCUUAGAACCUCUGUUUUCCUCAAAUAACAUGAUUCAAAUCAAUAACAAUCAAGUUAAUUUUCACAUUAGUUGAGAAACUAGUCCUAAUCUAACUUAAACAUCGACUUAGAAACCUUACACCACAUUUCUUCUUUUUUUUUUUUUUAAUGAUUUUAGUAACAAUACUAAAGUUAAUUGCAUAACUAAUGGAAGAGGAAGCAUGAAACUCGACUUUGGCUCACCUAUUGCGCUGGAGGUUGACAAAGGUUGAGAUGGUGGCUGAUGUUGGAGUUGCUGCGACUGCAGCUCUCAAUUAUCUCCUUGAAAUUCUGGAACUAAGCCAAGGAUAAAGGGAAUCUAGUGGAGCGCUAUGUAUCGCAGGUGGAGCUUGGAUGGUUUCGCCGGAAAAAGCCAAAGGAAUCAAGAGUGGCGCUGACCCGAUCGAACAUCGAAAUCGCAGCUCAAUCUUGCUGCGCUCGCCGGAAGAGGAGAGAGAAGAUCAACGGCGAAGGGAUGGAGCAAGGAGCUCAGGUCGCCUCGACUUGUACUCAGGUGGCCGGAAUCGCAAGUGGAGCCGAAUCGAGUUUACACAGCCUCCUACUUCUCUUCGACUUGCGCUGAAAUCGAACGGAAAGAGGGAGAGAGAGACCGGAGACGCUGUGGUGAAGAUGCGACAGCAGCAGGGAGGCGAUGGUUGAGGCGGAAUCGGCGCUGGUCUCAAGUGAUCGAAAAACGAAAGAAGGGUACAGGAAGGCAAGUCUGUCGCUGGAAACGAGAGGGAGGAGGGAUAAAAUGGCCAAACAAUAAUUUUACAAUCUUCUAGGGUUUUCUAGAAUGAUUUUGGUCCGAUUUGGAUCCGGUUUGGUCCAAAUCGUGGGUUUUGUUUGAUUUUAAUUGGUUUAUGGGUUUUUUCUAAUAGGUUUAAUUUAAUUUUUU
rnacentral:lncRNA from 1 species